rnacentral:rRNA from 1 species
UACGUAGGGUGCAAGCGUUGUCCGGAAUUAUUGGGCGUAAAGAGCUCGUAGGCGGUCUGUCGCGUCGGCUGUGAAAACCCGGGGCUCAACCCCGGGCCUGCAGUCGAUACGGGCAGACUAGAGUGCGGUAGGGGAGACUGGAAUUCCUGGUGUAGCGGUGAAAUGCGCAGAUAUCGGGAGGAACACCAGUGGCGAAGGCGGGUCUCUGGGCCGAUACUGACGCUGAGGAGCGAAAGCGUGGGGAGCGAACAGG